GAAAAUGACACUUUCAAUAUUUGGUUCUUCAAUAACCCAAUAUAUUUCAAGAACGUGAGCAAACACUUUCUAUUAGAAACAAAUAAAUGCUGGAAAAGUGAAACUUCAUCAAGAUGCACCUCUUAAGCCAGGUGGUCUUUUUCUCUGUAAGAGACUACGUAUUUAACUAUUUCACUAACAACUAUAAAAGAAUGUAGACUACGUCUAGCUCUAGUUUUUACUCGUUUAUCGAUCUUUCAGUUGCGGAAGGGUUGUAUAGGCCUGACGUGAAAGGUGAUGGCCCAUCUUUGGGAGCAACAAUGCUCAACGGCCCCCGCAGUGUUCACUCCUUUAGAACCACAUUAAAAAAAAAUUUGUUUGUUUUUCCACGAGCAAUAAUAUUUUUGAAUGUCAUUUGCUCCACGUUUUUCUUG
rnacentral:lncRNA from 1 species